rnacentral:lncRNA from 1 species
UAUCACGUGGCAAAGGCUGAGCUGGCUGUAGGUAUACAGCAGGCACUCGGCAAGUCUUAGUUUUGGUGAAUGGUGUUUCCACAUUGGGUCAGCACAUAUGGACCCAAAACAAAGUGUGGGUCAGAAGCUUCUUGAGAAUCAGAACGCCACCUUCACUGCCAGCAAAGCUUCCUGGAUGAGGUUCCGCCCCAGCAACUUUGUAAUCUAGCGUGUUUGAAGUGUCUAAAGACUCCCAGCAUAAUGAAUGGAGCCCUCGGUAGCAGAGCUGGGGUUUUCAGCUCUGUCUCCUGGCAAGUCCCCUCCCACCGAUAGCCUCAAUCUCCAACCAAGGCUCUCCUCGAAGAAUGGGAUACAUUUAUCUUUCAUAGCUGACUCCUGGGAGCAAAUGAAAAAGUUAAUAAAUUAGUAGAGGAAAUCAUAUGGAAC